GAUGAACGCUGGCGGCGUGCCUAAUACAUGCAAGUCGAGCGAACAGACGAGGAGCUUGCUCCUCUGACGUUAGCGGCGGACGGGUGAGUAACACGUGGAUAACCUACCUAUAAGACUGGGAUAACUUCGGGAAACCGGAGCUAAUACCGGAUAAUAUAUUGAACCGCAUGGUUCAAUAGUGAAAGACGGUUUUGCUGUCACUUAUAGAUGGAUCCGCGCCGCAUUAGCUAGUUGGUAAGGUAACGGCUUACCAAGGCAACGAUGCGUAGCCGACCUGAGAGGGUGAUCGGCCACACUGGAACUGAGACACGGUCCAGACUCCUACGGGAGGAAGCAGCAGGGAAUCUUCCGCAAUGGGGGAAAGCCUGACGGAGCAACGCCGCGGGAGUGAUGAAGGUCUUCGGAUCGUAAAACUCUGUUAUUAGGGAAGAACAAAUGUGUAAGUAACUAUGCACGUCUUGACGGUACCUAAUCAGAAAGCCACGGCUAACUACGUG
rnacentral:rRNA from 1 species